ensembl:lncRNA
AUGACCGACUGCAUCACAGAAUACAUCAGGUUCUGUGAACACACCACCAUGCCAACCCGGACUGUACGCUGCUUCCCUAAUAAUAAGCCGUGGAUCACCAAUGACCUGAAAGCCCUUCUUAACAAGAAGAAGAGGGCGUUCAGCUCUGGAGACAGGGAAGAACUGAGGAGAGUGCAGCAUGAACUCAGGGAUAUGCUGAGGACCUGUAAAGACACCUACAGGAGGAAGCUGGAGGCCAAACUCCAGCAGAACAAUGUGAGGGAUGUGUGGACUGGUAUGAAGCAGAUCACUGGGUGUAAGGUGAGCGGCAGACAGUCAUCGGGCAGCCUGGAGAGGGCAAACGAGCUGAACAGAUUCUUCAAUAGGUUCAGCUCACACCCUUCUGUCGUCUCCAUGACACCUCCAGACCCCCACACACCCUCACUGCCCCAAAUGCUUCCUCCCCUCCUCCCUCACUCCUCUGAUGUGAGCUCUCCUGUGCAGCACCUCUCCUCAUUCUCCUCCUCCUCCUCCUCCACCUCUUCAUCCUCCACCUCUUCCUCCUCUACCUCCUCCUCCUCCACCUUUACCUCCUCCUCCACCUCCUCGUCCUUCACUGAAGACACCAGCAGCCUCCCCCGCAUGACUGUGACUGCAGGCCAGGUUAGGAGACAGCUGGAGAGACUCCACCAGCAGAAGGCUGCAGGCCCUGACGGUAUCAGCCCCAUGAUCCUGAAGACAUGUGCCAGCCAGCUGUCUCCUGUCCUACAACACCUCUACAACCUGAGCCUUGGUCAAGAGAGAAUACCGGUGCUUUGGAAGACUUCCUGCCUGGUUCCUGUUCCAAAGAAGUCGACACCAUCAGACCUCAAUGACUAUCGACCAGUGGCCCUCACAUCUUACGUCAUGAAGGUGCUUGAGAGACUGGUUUUGGCCAACCUGAGGCCGCAGGUGAGAGCCCUGCUAGACCCUCUGCAAUUUGCUUACCAGCCCCACUUGGGAGUUGAUGACGCUGUCAUCUACCUGCUGCAACGAGCCCAUUCACACCUGGAUGGUGGAGGAGGUACUGUGAGAAUCACAUUCUUUGAUUUCUCUAGUGCUUUUAACACCAUUCAGCCACUGCUACUGGGGGAGAAGCUGCGGGUGAUGGGUGUAGACGACACAAUGAUCUCCUGGAUUACUGACUACCUGACAGGCAGGCCACAGUUUGUCCAUAUGGGCAGUGUUCUGUCUGAUGCGGUGGUUAGUGAUACAGGAGCUCCACAGGGGACUGCACUGUCUCCUUUCCUGUUCACCUUAUACACCACUGACUUUCAGUACAACACCGGGUCGUGUCACCUGCAAAAGUUUUCUGAUGACUCGGCUGUUGUUGGGUGUAUAAGUGAGGGACAGGAGGAGGAGUACAGGGCACUGGUAGACAACUUUGUGGAGUGGACUGGACAGAAUCACCUGCAGCUGAACAUCAGCAAGACCAGAGAGAUGGUGAUAGAUUUCAGGAAGAAGAGGAAGACGGCUUUCCAACCUCUGUGCAUUCUGGGAAAGGAUGUGGAGACGGUGGAGGAUUACAAGUACCUGGGUGUUACCAUCAACCACAGACUGGACUGGAGAUCUAACACUGAAGCUGUUUACAAGAAGGGAGAAGUAGACUUUACUUCCUGA